rnacentral:rRNA from 1 species
AGCUUAGGGUGUGAUCUUUGAUCACGCGGUAGCGGAGCGUUCCGUAAGCCUGUGAAGGUAAACCGUAAGGUUUGCUGGAGGUAUCGGAAGUGAGAAUGCUGACAUAAGUAGCGAUAAAGAAUGUGAGAAACAUUCUCGCCGAAAGUCCAAGGGUUCUUGCGUAAAGUUAAUCUGCACAAGGUUAGUCGGCUCCUAAGAUGAGGCUGAAAGGCGUAAUCGAUGGGAAUCAGGUUAAUAUUCCUGAACCUGAAGGAUGUGACGAAAAUAGUAA